UGUAAGUGGAAGAUAUUGUAAGAUAAAAAUGCAUUGAAUACACCUAACCUGUAGCUUAACCUAGCUUCUCUUAGAAGUGUUCAGAAUACACAUUAACUUAUAGUUGGACAAAAUUGUCUAACACAAAGCCUAUAUUAUAGUAUAGCAUUGAAUAGCUUAUGGGAUACAAAAUCACAAAAUGCAAUAUCAAAUGAACUAACAAAAACAAAUGACUAACAAAACCAAAGCAAACACUGGCAGCACAGGCCACUGUGAGUGCUGGCUGUUUGCCCGGUGGUGCUGUAGGUGCCUGGGAGGGUAGCUCACUGCCAUUGCAUGGCAAGGCAGCAUCAGCUUCUUGGGAAAAGGUGGCUUCUACUGAACGUGCCUCACCUUUGCACCUUUAUAAAGAAAACAAAUCAUAAUCUGAAUCAUUAUAAAUCACAGACCACCUGAAUAACUUUAGCUAAAUUCUACAAAUUUUGUUUUAUUGAAUUUCAUUGAAGUUUCAUUGAGAACUUUUAUAUUUCCAUAUAAUUUUUUAAAACUGUAGUCAUUUAUUUUCAAGAUUUUGGGGAACAUUUGAAAGAUUUUUAAAGUUAUCUAUUUUUAACAACUUCACUGUGGUUAGGAAAUACACUCUAGAUUUUAAUUAUUUGAAAUUUGUUGUAGUUUGCUUUAGAGAGCAGAAUAUUAUAGUCAGUCUUUCAGCAAAUGUUUCACAUGCACUUGAAAAUAACAAGUAUUCUGCAGUUUUAUAUAUGGGUUGAUCACAUUAUUUUUCUUAAUCCAAUUGUUUGAUCUUCUAUGACCUUAUUUUUGUCUAUUUUCUCAAUUGUUGUCAGAGAGGUAUUAAAAUCUUCAAUUAUUGUUGUCCAUUCGUCUGUUCCUUGGUUUUAGUUCUGUCAAUUUUUGCUUUAUAAACUUUGACACAGUGUUAAUUAGUGCUGUCAAAUUUGGAAUCAUUGCAUUGUUCUGGUUAGUUUACUCCUUUGUCAUUGUGAAAUAAAUAUUCCUUUUUAAUCUCUAGAAAUGUUCUUUGCAUUCAUCUUAAAUUAAUAGUUAUACAGAGUAGUGUUUGUCUGGUACAGAGUUUUCCAUCCUUUGACUUUUCUAUCCUUCCAUAUCCCUCUGUUUAUUGACUAUCAUUGAAAAUCCAUUUAUAGUUGCAUGUUUUAUCCAGUCUGGAUUUUUUUCCCCUGUUGUACUGGGCACUGAACCCAGAGUCUGGCACAUGGUAGGUAAAUGAUCUGCCACAGAGCAAGAUCCCAACCCUGGAAGAUCUGUUUAUUUUUUGGGUACUGAAGCCAGGGGUGCUUUUAUUUUGAGACAGGAUCUUGCUUAGUUGCCCAGGCUGGCCUUGAACUUGGGAUCCUCCUACUUUGGCCUCUGCGGUUGCCAUCACACCUGGAAAGAUUUAUUUUUUAAUUGGUAUGUUCAGGCCAUUCACUUCUAAUGUGACUACAGAGUUGUGUUUAAAUCUACCACCUUUACUUUAUUUCCUCUCUUAUCUGUUCUCGUGCCUUAUCUCUCUUCUUGUCUAGUCCUAUUGUUGCAGAACCAGUCCAGAUCCUAUGGAGUUAGAAAGAAGUCCCCCAUUGACUUGUUGGGUGUGCCCCGUGUCCUCCACACCCAAAGAGAUCAGUCUGGCAAGAGAGCUCCAACAUGCCUUCAUGGUGUGGUUGGUAAGAGACCUUAGGCCAGACAUGGCCCAGCCAUAUUCUGCUGGUUGAGAUGCCAAUGACGAGGAGCUUGGGCCUCAUUACUCAAUCACCUUCUUGCCCUUGAAGAAGCUGCAAGUAGAAAACUUGCCAGAUGGGUAGUUGGAGGAGGCAGAGCAUUGACAACAUGCUGAAGCACAGGACCCCAGUGUGUUGACUAUAUUGGUGUCCCAUCUCCUCCUCUCGCUACUUCCAGUAGGCAGAACCGAUUCUGAGAGGUCUUCUAGGCAUGGUAGCUUCAUCUCAGAGGUUUGAGCUUCUCAGCUUUUGGGAUCUCUUCAUAAUGUUUCACCUCCUCCCCUCCAUACUCCAUGUCCAGGAUCACCCAGGCCAGGUAUCCCCCCUGAUUCCUUGGUCUCCAAACACACUUCAAACAUGUCAUAAUCUUCAGUGGUAAAGGCAGCCUUCCCCUUGGAUGCAUUCCUCUGGGGGUACAGAAUAUGUCCAGCAGAACCCGUGAUCCUGUGGUGGGUGUGUAGGGCACCAGAGGCCCAGACUGGUCAGUGAUCUGGCAGGCGCCUGUCACUAGUAGGUCCUUCUGGCUCUCUUUGGGGAGACAUUUGUGAGAUGGAAAGAAGUCGUGAGGAUGGAUCUGGGCUGAGCAAGAACUCGA
rnacentral:lncRNA from 1 species